rnacentral:rRNA from 1 species
UACGGCGGGGGCUCGCGUUUUUCUUCCUCCUUUUUCUUCCCUUUCUCUUCUUCUUCCGAUCAAGUCGGAGGUGAAAUCCCUCGGCUCAACUGAGGAAUUGCCUUCGAUACUGUUCGGCUUGAGUCCUGGAGAGGGUAGCGGAAUUCCCGGUGUAGCGGUGAAAUGCGUAGAGACCGGGAAGAACACCAGUGGCGAAGGCGGCUACCUGGACAGGUACUGACGCUGAAGCGCGAAAGCUAGGGGAGCAAACAGGAUUAGAUACCCUGGUAGUCCUAGCUGUAAACGAUGGGCACUUGGUGUUGCGGGUAUCGACCCCUGCAGUGCCGAAGCUAACGCAUUAAGUGCCCCGCCUGGGGAGUACGGUCGCAAGGCUGAA